GUCUACGGCCAUGCCACCCUGAACAAGCCCGAUCCCGUCUGAUUUCGGAAGCUAAGCAGGGUCGGGCCUGGUUAGUACUUGGAUGGGAGACCACCUAGGAAGACCAGGUGCUGUAGGCG
rnacentral:rRNA from 1 species